rnacentral:rRNA from 1 species
GACGAACGCUGGCGGCGUGCUUAACACAUGCAAGUCGAGCGGUGAACCACUUCGGUGGGGAUCAGCGGCGAACGGGUGAGUAACACGUGGGCAACCUGCCCCUAGCUCUGGGAUAACCCCGGGAAACCGGGGCUAAUACCGGAUAUGACCUCGAGCGGCAUCUCUCGAGGUGGAAAGAUUUAUCGGCUAGGGAUGGGCCCGCGGCCUAUCAGCUUGUUGGUGGGGUAAUGGCCUACCAAGGCGA